CUACGGGCCGCUCCAGUGAGGAAUAUUGGUCAAUGGGCGAAAGCCUGAACCAGCCAUGUCGCGUGCAGGAAGACGGCCCUAUGGGUUGUAAACUGCUUUUCUAUAGGAAGAACUAUAUCUACGUGUAGGUAUUUGCCUGUACUAUAGGAAUAAGCAUCGGCUAACUCCGUGCCAGCAGCCGCGGUAAUACGGAGGAUGCGAGCGUUAUCCGGAUUCAUUGGGUUUAAAGGGUGCGUAGGCGGCCUUUUAAGUCAGUGGUGAAAUUUUGUAGCUCAACUACAAACGUGCCAUUGAAACUGAAGGGCUUGAGUGCGGACGAGGAAGGCGGAAUGUGUUAUGUAGCGGUGAAAUGCAUAGAUAUAACACAGAACACCGAUUGCGAAGGCAGCUUUCCAGACCGUAACUGACGCUGAUGCACGAAAGCGUGGGUAGCGAACAGGAUUAGAUACCCGCGUAGUC
rnacentral:rRNA from 1 species